UACGUAGGUGGCAAGCGUUGUCCGGAUUUACUGGGCGUAAAGAGCGCGCAGGCGGUCGGCUAAGUCGAGUGUGAAAGCCCCUGGCUCAACCAGGGAGGGUCAUUCGAUACUGUUCGACUCGAAGGCAGGAGAGGGAAGUGGAAUUCCGGGUGUAGUGGUGAAAUGCGUAGAUAUCCGGAGGAACACCAGUGGCGAAGGCGACUUUCUGGCCUGUUCUUGACGCUGAGGCGCGAAAGCUAGGGGAGCAAACGGG
rnacentral:rRNA from 1 species